rnacentral:rRNA from 1 species
GAGUGCGAUCAUACCAGCACUAACGCACCGGAUCCCAUCAGAACUCCGCAGUUAAGCGUGCUUGGGCGAGAGUAGUACUAGGAUGGGUGACCCCCUGGGAAGUCCUCGUGUUGCACCCU